UUGCUUCUCUCUCGUUUACUUUGUAUUGGAGUCAUUACAAGGAGAGUUAUAUGUAUCAAAUCGCAAAGAGACAUAUGCGACAACGAUCAGAAAACAAUAAUUUUACAUUAUGCAAAACGCAGAUGCAUCACAUUUUUAUUAAUUCUUCAUUAAAGGUUCAAUACCGAUAUGAUAAAAAAAGAAGCACAUGGACAAGAACUCUUGCCGUGGCCGUCAAGUCAAACCAAAAAGCUGGAAAACGACACGAGUUUCUGUUUCUCCUCCUCUCUAUUUGUUGGCUCAGCUUUUCUAAUUUCCUUAUUUCUCAUUUUCCUUUUGUCCAUUGCAUUGACACGUGUCCAACCAAAACGGUUAGCAUCAAAACAGAAUUAUCGUCACUCUCCUUCUCCCACUUGGCCUCUCCACAUCAUUCUUUCUUCUCCUUUCUCCAUG